CCCGGGACCGCCGACGGGGCUGUUUUGCGGAGCCAAUCGGGGAAAAGAGGGCGCGGGGCGCGGCUUCCUCCGGGGAGCCAAUGCUGCUCCCCUACCAGGAAGAUUACUUGAUGAAUCCAUUGACGAGCCACUGGUUUAAACAUCCAUGUCUUUCUACUAUAAAGAUCUGUUUUGGAGGCGAACACCGUCCGCGGCCUGUAUUCCAUCUGCGGACAUGUCUUAAUCCAGGUGCUCGAGGAGGCGAGGAUUAAACCCACUUAAAAACAGCUUUUUGCUGCUUGAGCAUGAAGAAAUCUGUAUAGUUUCAAGCGCGUGUUUGUGUCUCAAAAUCCCACUUCUGAGGAACAGACGCGUGUGUAUGUAGGGUGUCUAGAAAGUAUUCGCAUACAGGGCUGGACGCAGGCAUAGGUGAACUGAGCGGCUGCCCAGAUCCUGGACAGAAAAUGAUCUUUUAAAAAUUAUUGUUAUCAUUAUCUCUGGCAAAGGGGGCCCUGACACUAAAAGCUCGCCCAGGGCCACCAGGACCCCAGGUACGGUGCUGUUUACAUAUAAGGAGCAAUGUUUGAUCUGGUCAGGCUCCAAUAAAAUUCAGAUUCUCCUCUUAAAUACUGAGCUGGAGUUCAGAAGAGGACAGCUGGGAAAGGGGGACAGCAAGUGCAUCAGGAGAGACUAAUGAAGCCGUGCACCUGCUUAACGCUGACAGCACAGACUGCAAAAUACUGGAUGUCUGUUCUGAGAAGGAAGUGCUGUCCAAGGGAGCCCUCUGGUGCAAUGUAAUGAGAUGUGACAGGAGCAGAAGGACAGCAACAGACGUGGAACCACCAUGAACAAGCAGAAUUCAGUCACGGUGGAUGGUGGAACAGAUCCUGGUGGAUCAAACAGGAUGACAACAGCCUAAUAAGCACAAGAGUCAGGGGGCAUAAAUUAAGCAGGAGACUCUCCCGAGACCUACCUCAGAGCUAUGACCUGAAACGAAAACCAGAUUGAAAUUUCUCAGGUGGCCGAUUGUCAGCAAGGCAAGGCGACAGGGGCGUUUCAGUAAUAAACCUGUCUAUCUGCCAAAAAAGGAGGACGUGCUGUCUGGUGGCAAUAUGAAAUUACUUUCCUGACAUACAGUCUCUUUUAGGCUGUUUCUUAUCCCAGGCCAAGACUGGGUCACAACCUCAGUAUUAAAUAAAGGCCUUUCAAAGACUGGCAAUGCUGCUUACCUGAUCUGGGUAUGAUAAUUUCUCAGAAAACACCACUAAAGGAGCUGGCAAGGCCCCCUUUGCCCAGGAGAACAGGGUGGUAUGCAACAUCCUGGUGCCUUACAAAGGCAAUCCUGUCAAGACAAGACAUAACAUCAGCAGCAGACAAAUAUCAGUGCCUUCCUGCUGAAUCAGCAUUUAUUUCAAAGGUUGUGGGGUUGCUUUUUUAGUGCAGGGUCUGGAAAUAUCACUCAUCCAACCAAGGUGAUUGGUCACUGAGAUUACUAUGCUUAUAAGAGCACGGGACAGCAGCUUCUGGAGUUCCAAAAAUUCAUCCAGAAGAAAUAAAAGAAUGAUGUCAAGCCUUGCUGUCUUCAGAAGGAAAGUUAUUCACUGUGGGGGAGGAACUUCAUCUGGUACCCGCUGUCACAGCUCAGCUGUAACUGUCUCAGCGUCUCAUGAUCUCAGGGAAGCUAGCACCAUUCAUACCGGCUGGUAUAAACCCUGCUUCCUUGUGGCAUAAUCAGAAGGCCUCAGGUUACUUGACCCAACCUCAGCAAAUGAGAGGAGUCGUAAUAUAUGGAUAGAGUGAAGGUACUGAACGAGAUGAAUCUUUACCCGUGUGUAGACAGACACGCCACUAUUAGCUACUGAGAUCUGGCUAUUUUACUGACAAGGGCAAGCACUGGCAUGCACCUUGUUGCUGUGGGAAAGUAAAAAUAAUGAAACUCCUGGUGAGAAGAAUGCAUGUAUGAGGAAGGAACCUAUUACGAUUAAAUAGAUGAAUGGAGCUACUUCAAUGCAGCCACAGGCUGCGAAGAAAAACAAGUGACUGCACACGAACUCUGUGGUCUGAAGCAUUUAAGGGGAUUCCGAAGCCUGUGUUCUUGCAGACAUCUGUGGACAACCAGGGAUUCUUACCUCAUCUGGAAGGUUGGCUUGGAUUUUAUCAUCCAGUUCCCUGCAGAAAGGCAGAUAGAAAUUCCAUGAAGGAAACAUUGGGUUGGAAGGGUCAUCAACGCCCAAAGGAAGAAAAUGUGGCAAGAGAGAUACUGUAUGUUAAAGACAUGCGGACAUGCAUCAUUGCUGUCCACCAGCCCUCAAGGGGGCAAGAGACACUUCAGACAUGUCAUGGAAAUCCCAAACCCUUAUGAACCCUGAGAGACAGACCAAAAGAUCUUUGGAUUUGGAGGCUGCAGUGAUCCACUGUAUCGACUCUUUCAUGUCUCUCUUGCAUACUAGCUUCCACAGCCAUACUGGCUGAAAUUAUAGUCUGUCUAGGACAGAUGGGUAUGUGUCACAUUCCUCUUUAAGAAACAGAAAUACAUUCUCUGGGGACACAUAGCGACUGCAAAAACUGAUAUUUUAAGUACAUGACUAAAUAAAACCCAGACUCCCAUUGGAACAGCAGCCCUAUGAAAGAGCCUUGAUAUUACAGAAAGCCAGCAUCCCUUAGGAAAAGCAAAUAUGGGUGUCUCCUGAGUGUGCCUUAUCUUACUGGCUUCUGGGAUCCAUUUCUGGAAAUUAACUACUGGUUCAGACAAGCCAUGAGACUUACUCA